GUCCUUAUCGUCUAGUUGGUCAGGACUUUGCCCUUUCACGGCAAUAACAUGGGUUCAAGUCCCAUUAAGGAUA
rnacentral:tRNA from 1 species